rnacentral:rRNA from 1 species
UACGAAGGGGGCUAGCGUUGCUCGGAAUCACUGGGCGUAAAGGGCGCGUAGGCGGGUGCUCAAGUCCGGGGUGAAAUCCUCCAGCUCAACUGGAGAACUGCCUCGGAUACUGGGUGCCUCGAGUGUGGUAGGGGUGUGCGGAACUAUCGGUGGAGCGGUGAAAUGCGUUGAUAUCGAUAGGAACUCCGGUGGCGAAGGCGGCACACUGGACCACAACUGACGCUGAGGCGCGAAAGCUAGGGGAGCAAACAGG